GCUGGGGGAGAAGAGGGAGGGAGGAGAUGCCGAGGAAGUUUUCUGCCCUGUACGAUCGCCAACGGCACUAACUCCUUCAGGCUUGUAAGUAGCCACACACAUACACACAGCUGUGCUCAGCAGGACGCACAGUGUCCAAGGUGAAGAAACUCCCACUCCUACCAAGGAUUCCUGUACCUCAUCCUCCCAGGGACAGGAUAGUGGGGACGGUGGAUGGGACGGACCCGUAGCCAAAGCCAGGAUAACCAUACCUUGCAUCCAGUCCCUGCCUGCCCUGCCCUGAUCAGUUGUCUCUCUCCUGUCUUGAUCUUUCUGCUCCUUUCCCCUUGCCUUGCUUUCUCAUCUGCUCUGAGGCAGAUGGGAAGAAAGCCACAGACAUAAACGAGGUCGCAGCAGUCAGAGCUGGAUUAGCUGUUCCCAGCCCGCAGCACGAGUCCCACCUGGGACCAGAGGCUUGGCAGAGGCACUGGGGUUUCACUGCUGAGUGCAGGGGCUUCGUCCUCCCAAAAGUCAGCCCCAGUCUGCAGAAGGUCUGACCUCUGUUCAUCGCGUUUUCUCAGCUGGUUCUCUGCUUCCUCCUUUGUGCUGGUUGCUGGCUUGCCAGUAAAACAGUUCAUCAGCAAGGAAUUUUUUAUCCUUUCUAUUUACAGCCCAGGAAGAGAGCACUUUAAUGGCCUUUCCAACAGCAGAGAGAGAGACAGAAUCUAUCUUGGACAGACAUCAAAUGGAUGCCAGCCUGGUUUAGGCUAAUAAAGAGCAUCAUUGAGCUAAUGAGAUUAAGGCUGACUUGUUUAUGCUGUCCCUGCUGGAAACGGUGCUCCAGGAUAGCGGCUGUGAUGUUCCUGGGACCUGGGGAAUUACAGAGGAAUUUCUGCGUGGCCCAGAAGGCAUUGACCCAAUUCCUCUGCCCUCCCACGCCCAGCAGUUUGCAGGUUCAUUGGGAAAGAUCAAGAUUGCUUCCAGAUUGAGCCUACUCAUUUUACAAACACACGGAGUCCAGCUGGAUCCUUCAGGCUCAUCACACCCCACAGACAAUAAAAGCUCUGCUACUUUUAAUGUCACACAUAACUGCAGAGAACUACACUAAGCCCAGCAGAGAAAUGGACAGUCCUUCCGAGAGCAGUCGGGAAUGAUUGCAUUUAUCCUCACUGGGAUUUUGGUGAUGGAGUAGGAACCCAGUGCCAAGAAUGAGUACAGGAAGGUAUACCAAGCCUCUGAACAAUUUGCCAGACCCUUUUCUGAUGGAUGACACAGGCAAGAAUUCCCAUGUGAGUCUGUGAUUCAAGGGUCACCCUGCUCCCAGGAAGACCAAGCAUCUCACCACCACCUCCUGGGUCA
rnacentral:lncRNA from 1 species